rnacentral:sRNA from 1 species
UUUAAAAAUUGUUGUACUUGUUGUAAAAACGUUCAGUUCUCUUUUUGAAUCUAAUUUAACAUUAAAUUCAAAAAAAAA